rnacentral:misc_RNA from 1 species
UGGUUCUGGCAUCGAUGAAGAACGCAGCGAAAUGCGAUAAGUAAUGUGAAUUGCAGAAUUCAGUGAAUCAUCGAAUCUUUGAACGCACAUUGCGCCCGCUGGAAUUCCAGCGGGCAUGCCUGUUCGAGCGUCAUUUCAACCCUCAAGCCUGGCUUGGUGUUGGAGCACUACCCGUUACACGGUAGGCUCUGAAAUUCAGUGGCGGGCUCGCUAAGACUCUGAGCGUAGUAGUUUUACCACCUCGCUUUGGAAGGAUUAGCGGUGCUCCAGCCGUAAAACCCCCCAACACUUCUGAAUUUUGACCUCGGAUCAGGUAGGAAUACCCGCUGA